AAUUUGUGGCUUUACCGUAUAGCAGCGACGGGCCAAAUUUGUGGCUUUACCGUGUAGCAACGACGGGCCAAAUUUGUGGCUUUACCGUGUAGCAGCAACGGGCCAAAUUUGUGGCUUUACCGUGUAGCAACGACGGGCCAAAUUUGUGGCUUUACCGUAUAGCAGCGACGGGCCAAAUUUGUGGCUUUACCGUAUAGCAGCGACGGGGCAAAUUUGUGGCUUUACCGUGUAGCAGCGACGGGGCAAAUUUGUGGCUUUACCGUGUUGCAACGACGGGCCAAAUUAUAUAUAUAUCAUGAAAUGGUUUGUGUGAGGGGUGAUUUUUUCUCAUUUUUCUCGCUUAGAGGGACGAUUAAGAAACUUGGUCCCCGCUGCUACCGGGUUAAGGGAAGGUGUUGGAUCCUUCUACAGCUAAGCCAUAUGACUUCUAAUCCUAUAUAAAUGUCAUGUAAUUCUAGAUGCUAUACAAAGGAGAUCCAUAUAUUUCUGGUGUUAGAGGAUCCUAUGCGAGUUAGUGAGUGUUGGAUCCUAUAUAAACCUAUAACUAAUUGUUUCUGAUCCUACAACAAGUUUCUUUAUGGGUUUUGAUCCUAUAAACAGAGAUAAGGAUGGUGAGAAAUGUGUUAGAUUAUCCUGUGUUAGUUAAGAGAAGGUAUUGAAUCCUAUAUACAACUAAGACAUAUUUUUAGGUCCUGUAACAAGCUAAGACAUGUGUUCUUAUCUUAUACUUAUGGGUUUUGAUCUUAUAAACAUGGUAAGGAUGGUGCGAUGUGUGUUAGAUGAUCCUGUGUUAGUUAACCCGGUAGCAGCGACGGGCCAAAUUUGUGGCUUUACCAUGUAGCAGUGACGGGCCAAAUUUGUGGCUUUACCAUGUAGCAGUGACGGGCCAAAUUUGUGGCUUUACCAUGUAGCAGUGACGGGCCAAAUUUGUGGCUUUACCAUGUAGCAGUGACGGGCCAAAUUUGUGGCUUUACCAUGUAGCAGUGACUGGCCAAAUUUGUGGCUUUACCAUGUAGCAGUGACGGGCCAAAUUUGUGGCUUUACCAUGUAGCAGUGACGGGCCAAAUUUGUGGCUUUACCAUGUAGCAGUGACGGGCCAAAUUUGUGGCUUUACCAUGUAGCAGUGACAUGCCAAAUUUGUGGCUUUACCAUGUAGCAGUGACAGGCCAAAUUUGUGGCUUUACCAUGUAGCAGUGACGGGCCAAAUUUGUGGCUUUACCAUGUAGCAGUGACGGGCCAAAUUUGUGGCUUUACCAUGUAGCAGUGACAGGUCAAAUUUGUGGCUUUACCAUGUAGCAGUGACGGGCCAAAUUUGUGGCUUUACCAUGUAGCAGUGACGGGCCAAAUUUGUGGCUUUACCAUGUAGCAGUGACGGGCCAAAUUUGUGCAAUGAUAUAAACCUCUAAAAAUAGAUGAUACAUAAUCUGAUAACAAAUGCAUUGAUAUAUAUUAAGAAAUGGUUUGUGUGAGGGGUGAUUUUUUCUCAUUUUUCUCGCUUGGAGGGACCAUUAAGAAACAUGAUCCCCGCUGCUAUCGGGUUAAGGGAAGGUAUUGAAUCCUAUAUACAACUAAGAUAUAUGUUUUAAAGUCCCAUAACAAGCCAAGACAUAUUUCUUAUCUCAUACUCAUGGGUUUCAAUAUUAUAAACAGUGGUAUGAAUGGUGAGAUGUGUCUAUGAUCCUGUGUUAGUUCAGGUAAGGUACUGAAUCCUAUAUACAAGUUAGAUAUGUUUUUUUUUUAUCCUGUAAGAAGCUAAGAUAUUUUUCCUUUAUCCUAUACUUAUAAAUAAUGGUAAGGAUGGUGUGAUGUGUGUUAGAUCCAAUGUAAGUUAAGGGAAGGUAUUGAAUCCUAUAUACAAGUUAGAUAUAUGUUUUUUUUUAUCCUGUAAGAAGCUAAGAUAUUUUCCUUUAUCCUAUACUUAUAAAUAAUGGUAAGGAUGGUGUGAUGUGUGUUAGAUCCAAUGUAAGUUAAGGGAAGGUAUUGAAUCCUAUAUACAACUAAGGAAUAUGUUUUUUUUAUCCUGUAAGAAGCUAAGAUAUUUUUCCUUUAUCCUAUACUUAUAAAUAAUGGUAAGGAUGGUGCGAUGUGUGUUAGAUCCAAUGUAAGUUAAGGGAAGGUAUUGAAUCCUAUAUACAACUUAGUAAUAUGUUUUUUUUUUAUCCUGUAAGAAGCUAAGAUAUUUUUCCUUUAUCCUAUACUUAUAAAUAAUGGUAAGGAUGGUGUGAUGUGUGUUAGAUCCAAUGUUAGUUAAGGGAAGGUAUUGAAUCCUAUAUACAACUUAGUAAUAUGUUUUUUUUUUUAUCCUGUAAGAAGCUAAGAUAUUUUUCCUUUAUCCUAUACUUAUAAAUAAUGGUAAGGAUGGUGCGAUGUGUGUUAGAUCCAAUGUAAGUUAAGGAAAGGUAUUAAAUCCUAAACAUAGCCAAUUCACAUGGUUUCUGAUCCUAUAUAAAUGUCAUGUGUUACUCUAACCUAACCUAACCUAUGGUGGUCACAAAUAUCACACACAAAAAUCUCAACAAAAGCUCAUUCCUACAAUACAUCUUUAAGGUCACACACAUAAUAAAUACACAGAAUAAAGGGCCAGCUCAACAGUCCAACACAGUCAUUGUAAGCACCCAAACCAAACUAUAUUCUCCACAAUGAUUUGUUAUUUCUACUCAACAACAGAUACUUAAGAGAUUUCCCGUGUGGUUUUCUCAAGUUUCCUUCAUUUUAUAUCAACGGCAAACACUACACAAGGAAUUUUCAUGGUAUUUCGUGAUUGGUUGGGCGUUCAAAAGUUUCCCUCAUUUUAUAUCAACACCAAACACUAUACAAAGAAUUUUCAUAGUAUUUGGUGAUUGGUUGGGUGUUCAAAAGUUUCCCUCAUUUUAUAUCAAUGGCAAACACUAUACAAGGAAUUUUCAUAGUAUAUGGUGAUUGGUUGGGUGUUCAAAAGUUUCCCUCAUUUUAUAUCAACACCAAACACUACACAAGGAAUCUUCAUAGUAUUUCGUGAUUGGUUGGGCGUUCAAAAGUUUCCCUCAUUUUAUAUCAAUGACAAACACUAUACAAGGAAUUUUCAUAGUAUUUCGUGAUUGGUUGGGCGUUCAAAAGUUUCCCUCAUUUUAUAUCAAUGGCAAACACUAUACAAGGAAUUUUCAUAGUAUUUCGUGAUUGGUUGGGUGCUCAAAAGUUUCCCUCAUUUUAUAUCAAUGCCAAACACUAUACAAGGAAUUUUCAUAGUAUUUCGUGAUUGGUUGGGUGUUCAAAAGUUUCCCUCAUUUUAUAUCAACACCAAACACUAUACAAGGAAUUUUCAUAGUAUUUCGUGAUUGGUUGGGUGCUCAAAAGUUUCCCUCAUUUUAUAUCAAUGGCAAACACUAUACAAGGAAUUUUCAUAGUAUUUCGUGACUGGUUGGUCGUUCAAAAGUUUCCCUCAUUUUACAUCAACGCCAAACAAGGAAUUUUCAUAGUAUUUCGUGAUUGGUUGGGGAGCUUACAAACUUGCUGGACUGGACUGUGAGGCUGACCCUGAGACCAUUAAAACAACCGUAUGAGAGCAUGGCAUCAAAGCAAGCAUACCAAUAACACAAACAGGCAUCGCAGAGCAGGAAUCAUGCAAUGUCGCGAGUGGUCAUGCCGUUUACGAUACUGACGACCGCAAGCAUAAAAACAGUACCGGAAACAGAGCAUUGGGCAAACAGCAUACAGCGAGCAUACGGUGAACAUAAAGCAUACCGCAAGCAUAAUACAGGGUGACAAAUAUAUAAAAAGUAGUAUUUCCGAGUAUUCUUCGCAAGCUCAGCGCGGAGGAUGGAGUGACGGAAAGGGAGGGAGGGAGGGAGGAAAACAAGCGGAAAACAGAACUCAACUCCAGUCCACUCCACUCUUGCUCCGCUCCACUCCCUUCCGCCCGGCACUCCACACUACCUCAGCACACCGAAAAGACCGCCAGGAGCCAAGCUUAGUGUGUGUGUGUGUGUGUGUGUGUGUGUGUUUGUGUUUUGUGAGUUUGUUUAUUUAUGAAUGUAUGUGUUUGUAUCUUUCCAUGUGUCUCUGUGUGUAUGUGUAAUUGUGUGUGUGAGUGUCUGUGUAUUGGGGUUUUAUGUAUGCGUUUGUGUAUGUGCGUUCAUUUGUAUGCACAUGUGUACGCGUCAGUGAUUACGUGUAUGUGUGUUAAUGAACUUGAAUUAAUAUGUGUGUGUGUGUGUGUGUGUGUAAUAAAAAAACUCCAUGCAACGUUUCUAGCGCUUAUACAGCAUAGACGGCGAAUGAGUGAGUGAGUGAGUGUUCCAGCGCUCCGACACCAAAUGCCUUCCCCAUGCUGACUGGCCUCCACCUCGGCUUCAACACAGGACAGCAACAGGGACUAAACAGAGCAGCGUUACCACAUCACCUACCCAGCACAUUGUAUCUUCCGUUCAUGACCCAAAACAAUCACAAAAGGCCAUCAAUAACUUAUGGUUUUAACGGUAACUUUGACUAUCGGUAUUUGUGUGGGUACAAGUUUUGGGUCUUGAACGGAUAAGUAUGAUGAUCUGGAUGUGAUAAUUUGGUAACACUAAUACAGGGUCAUUUAGGAAGGGUCAAAUGUGCUCUGAGGUGAGUGUGACAGCCCAAUGUGUACUGCAAGAGGUGAUUUGACCCUCAGAUAAUACAGGAAGGUGACAGGGACUUACAGGGUCACUUAGGAAAGGUUAUAUAAACUCAGGAGUGUGUGAUGGCUUUACGAUUACUAAAGGAGGUGAUUUGACCCUUAUAUAUGGAUUGCGAAUGUACUGGUGGUGGUGUGAUACAGGAAAGCAACAGGGAUCAUACAGGGUCAUUUAGGAAAGGUUAAAUAAGCUCUGAGGUGUGUGAACUUAACAAGGUGAUCUGACCCUUAUAUAUGGAUUGUGAAUGUACUGAUACAGGAAGGCAACAGGGGUCAUACAGGGUCACUUAGGAAAGGUUAAGCUCUGGGGUGUGUGAUGACCCUGUAAUUACUUAAUGAGGUGAUUUGACCCUUAUUUAAGAAUGUACUGGUGUUGGUGUGAUACAGGAAGGCAACAGGGGUCAUACAGGGUCACUUAGGAAAGGUUAAAUAAGCUCCGUGGUGUGUGAUGGUUCUAUAAUUACUUAACUAGGUGAUUUGACCCUUAUAUAUGGAUUAAGAAUGUACAUAUUAGUGGUGGUGUGAUACAGGAAGGCAACAGGGAUUAUACAGAGUCACUUAGGAAGGAUUAAGCUCUGGGGUGUGUGAUGACCCUAUAAUUACUUAAUGAGGUGAUAUGACCCUUGAGAAUAUACUGGUGUUGGUGUGAUGGGUGAGGCAUGGCAUGUGGUGGUACUGUGGAGGGUACGAAGAUGUUACAGUGAUCCGAGGUGGGUAGGUGGGUAGGUGGGUGAGGGCAUUCAUAUAUAUAAAGAAAACAAAAGAAGGAAAAUUAAAAGGAAAAGAGGCUGGAAGGGGAAUUUAGUGGCAUAAGGAAGGUAGGGGGAUUCAUAAAUACAUAUACAGUACCCGUCAGUUGAAGUGUCGCACUUGGUCCCGUGACACUUCUGUUGCAGGAUUUGGUAUGAAGUGUAAAUCAGACUGAGAAAACUUGCCCAGGAAAAAAUGACUAUAUGACAACCUUCCUCACGCUCUCCUUAAUCUACUAAGCAGG